rnacentral:tRNA from 2 species
GCCCGGUUAGCUCAGUUGGUAGAGCAUCAGACUUUUAAUCUGAGGGCCAUGGGUUCGAGUCCCAUAUCGGGCU